AGCACACCUUUGGGUUUGUUUUCAUCUGAAAGAGGCUGGUUUGUGUGCUCUGAGAUGGGGGUCUUGUGGAAGUCACAGCAUGUAAAGGAGAAAUGGUUGGGAGAUUUAAAAAUGCAUUUCUGACCAUCAGUGCUGAUGGAGGUGCCUUUGCUGCUUGCUGAUAUACCUGCUUCAGCUGCUCUAAAGUGAGACUGGAUUCCUGGGGCUUCCCUGUGUUCUGGGUUAAAAGGAAGGAAUAUUUAUUUGAAGCAAGAUUGAAAGCAAGGGCAGAGGCCUAAUUUUUGUAUUUGUGGCAACCACCAAUGCUGGAAGAAGUGCAGGAAGGAUCAGAGCUGAGAAGAAUGGUUGUGAGGAUCAUCAGGAAGACCUGUAAGCUGUUUCCUGACAGGAGAUUGAGAGAGAAGAGAAAAUGAGCUGUUAACAAGAAUGCUGCCUGCUGUCUGAAUUGCCCUAAUUCAUGAAGGGACAUAAAGCUCAGACAAAAGAUUUAUGGUGCCUUAACCCUGGGAAUGACUCAGUUGUUUAACAGCAUGUUUGUGCUCACACAAGCAUGGGAUCUGGGCUGAAGCAGAGCAUCCACUGGAGCACUGCCAUGGAUGGACAGGGGCUCUUCAGGAAGGACCAUCCAGGGGGAUGGAGGGAGUUCUGUCUGAGGGCAGCAAGGAUGCACAGAGCUCUGCCCUGGCAGGGAUGAUGGGACAGCUGAGAACUUGCCAGUUCAGAUCAGCAGGAGUAAUAAUGUGGGUGUUUUGAGCAGGGUGCCUGCUACUGCCAGCCUGCCCAGGAAGAGCAGAUGAGCCCUUCUGCAGACAGCUGGGAGAAGUCUCCUAUCUGCAAGCCCUGGUCCUCACAGGGGCCUCCAGCCACCCGGACACCUGCUGGAAACAGCACAGCACAGCACAAGGGGUCUGGGACGUUCCUGCACCACAGGGAUGGUGAAUUCCUGACAUGGGCGCUGGAAGAGCCAACAAAGUGAGACACGCUGACAGACCUUAUACUCACCAACAUGAAGGUUGUGGGCAGGCUUGGCUUCAGCGACCAUGAGCUGUGGAAUUCAGGGUCCUGAGAGGUGGGAGAAGAGCCAAGAUUAGUAUCACAUAUUAGUAUCUCAACCUCAGAACAGCUUUUGUCUUUUUCAAAAUCCUAUUUGGAAGAAUCCCAUGGGACGUGGCCCGGAACAGAUGAGCAGCCCCUGAAGGCUGGCUGAUUUUCAAGAUCACCUCUUCCAAGCUUGUGAAUGGUCCAGCCUGACAAGCAGGAAAGCAAGCAAAAGUGGUGGAAGGGCUUAAUGGAUAAACAAGAACAGCAAAGAAGCUUUAUCCCCACUGAAGGAGUGGGGCAGAGAACAACUAAGCAAACUGUGCAUGCACAAAUCCUUGGGUCUGAAGGAAUUUGAAGGAAUCUCCCUAUAGAUAGAAGAUUCUGUGCUCUGAGCAGCCCUUUCACCUUUUGUGACAUGUGAAUUUAGUUUUUUCCUUCUGAAAAGAAAAAUCCACUGAAAGCUGAUUUACUUUUCUCAGUAUAACCCCUUCUCUAACCUUGCAAACACAUUUCAUAGCUGCAAGGUGAUAAUAAAACUGUUCAGAGCUGAGCUUAAAACAAAUACAAAUCUGGGCAAGAAAUAUAAAUAAUAAUUGUAAACAAUUGAAUACAUCAAGUAAUCUAAAGCCAAAGUAAAUAGUUUAUGAAAUGUACAUAGUUAACUACUAUCUAAUAAACCUAUUAGCAAGAAUAAACCACAAACAGUAAAAAAGGACAAUAAAUGAGUAUCUCCUCAAUAAUAAUUUGACUGGCCCUACAUUGCAACAUUUCUUAGGGCCACACUGAUGUAUUCAUAAAAUAAACAUUAUAAUUACAAAAUAUGAUUAUUUAAAAGACUCCUGAAACUGUA